rnacentral:lncRNA from 1 species
UUCCCCUGGAAUCAUAUUUCCAUUUUCAUUUCUAACAAAGCACAUAUUUGAGUCUUGAUAUCUCAUUGGUUCAUCUCUCUCUGUCCUAACAAUCCCUUUGCAUUUCAAACGUUACGCCAAAGAAAGAAACGUGAAUGCAGCUCAUAAUGAUGAUGGAUUACAACAUGCGGAAUCAUGGCCAGCGAGUUGGCCAAAUUACCCGCACCUGCCAUGGUGCUGACUUUGGUCUGAAUUAUGGAGAACAUGAAUUUUGGAAUCUUUUCUGCUGCUAGGACAAUGAAUAAGCUUUGUUAGUAGACUAGAAACAUUGUAGG